UUGUUUAUUGUCUGUAUUGCUUGUCAGGGCUUUCAGGAAGACCAGCAAUAUCCAUACUAUAAAUUAUACUACCGUAUAUCUUCUAAUUUAUCGGACAGCAAAAAAUAAUUAUUUUGGAAAUUGUCCGGGUAUAAUUGGAACAGAUUUUUAUACAGCAUGUGAAGUGUCCGGAAUAAUUAGAACAAGCAAGCAGCUGCAUGCGAGCUAGCUAAGUUUAAUAGACCAGUGUGCGACUGAAUAGUUGCACUAGCUAUCUAAAACUAGCUACUCAAAGCUAUCUAACUGCAGCACUCUAAGUCUUGUCUUACUUGCCGUCUGUGAAUGGUGAAUGUAACUCAACUUUUCAAAGUAUUGUCCAGAUAUUUAGAACAAAUGUAAUAUUAAAGCAAUUAGAACAACGAAAAUUGCCCAAAAGAGUGUCCGGGGUAAUUAGAAGUGUCCGAUAAAUUAGAAGAUAUACGGUACUACUAACUGUACACAAGUGUCUUAUUAAUGACAUCCGUUAAUGUCAUGUAUUUUGGUCCCACUCUAUUCGGAUUAGCGAGGUUCUACUGUAGUAAUUAUGGCUACGCCCUCGGCAUAGGUUGGUUAUAAGCCAUAGUUACUAGGUCACCAGUCAACAACUGACUUAUUUACUACGCAACCACCUUCCUAGCAACAAUUCACUCACAGCAUUAGAAAAAGAAUAGAAAACUACUCUCCUAUAACUAACUCUCCUUUGCUUGCAGCCAUGACUGUGUGAUUUGACCGAAUGCUUAUGCGUAUUAUUAACCCAGCACACAAACCCGACUCGCCCAUCUUUAAAAGUCACCGCUUCCUUCCACAAACUCGCUUUAAGAGUCAGUUUCUUCACAAACUCGCAGAAAAAGUUGCAAGAGUCACUACUGCCUUCAAGUUCGAAACUGAAGACAAGCUAGCGGAAAUGGCAAGGGGAUUUACUCCUGAAAACACCAGCAAGGCUAUUACUUAAUGUGCUUGAACAGUAGGAAAAUGCAAGGAAUUAACAAUACCCAAAUGAAACAGACCCUCAAUUUCUGAAUACCCACCAUUCAAGGUUCGCUGUUGAACUAAGGAAGAUUAACAGCGACAAGUACCCAUGCACCCUCAACCAUCAUCAGCUACUGUGUGGACUACUCUGGCACGUGAGAAUACUACUGGAUACCCAAACUUCCUGAAUAAGCAGGAUUCUUGUUUCAAUUAAGCCACUCCAAGGUACCUUAGACUACUUUUUCCACUCAUUACACUCUGAGGGCGUAGGUGUACAAGUGAAGCAUGCUGACAUCUUGUCGAAGAAGAGAAGCUAAACUGUGGAACAAUGAAUUAUCUACCCCAAUAUCACUUCAAAACGCUGAAUUUUUCGUCGUCGGGAAGUUUUUUGCCCUGCGAGGAGGAGUUGAACAUCGAAACCUGCAACUGUCACAAUUGAAGCGAAUGUGUGCUCCAGACCCAGCAUAUUUAUUACGAGAAUGUCGACAAAACCAACAGUGGGUCAUUUAAAAAGCUAUACCGUAUAAUUUAUAUAUCCUAAUUUAUUGUACACUUUUCUGGGCAAUUUUCGUUGUUCUAAUACAACAGACACUCUGGUGCUUUAAUUAAUUUUACAUGUGUUCUAAAUAUCCGGGGCAAUUUUCGUUGUUCUAAUACAACGGACACUCUGGUGCUUUAAUUUACAUGUUAUACCUUCUUCUCCAACUGAAAUAGAUGUAACCGAAAAAAAGAAAAGAAAAAGAGCUGAAAAUGCAGCAGCCAAAAAAAUUCCAUUAGUACCAAAAGUCACUGGAAAACAAAAUUCAGGCUGCAAUUUCUCUCAUUCCUAGUGGUACUAUAGUGAGGCAAGAGCAGAGUUUGUUUCAGGUACCUAUGGCAUCUCUACUCCACAACACCUGCCACAGCUACCACCAGCACCGACUACACCAACUACCUACUCAACCUACUCAAUACCAACUACUAACUCAAUACCUACCACCAACUCAACCAACUCAAUACCUACCACCAACUCAACGCCACCCACCGACACCACAGUUUACACAACAAGACAUUAUGAGGGAUCUUCCCACGAAUUAGAUAGUUCAAUUAGCACCAUGGAAAAGUUGAGCGAUCGCGUGGAAUUGAUGGAGAGCAACGGAGGAGUUGAAACAAGCUCAAAGUGGAAUGGACAGUUUAUUGGAGGGUCACUGUCCCUUUCUGAAGGCCAGCUAGCCACUAUAAAGUGCAUGGUGCCCUCUCAAAACUGGAAGUAUACACCUUACGGAAAGUUCUAUCAAUGGCCUUUGAUGACCGUGAGCUAGGGACCAUGUGUGCCGUAGGAAGGAAAGGGGAAUAAAAUAAAGCCAUGGAUAAGGAAGACCUUGAAGCCCUGAAAGGAUUUAUCCAAGCCCUGUACCCCGAUACCGCUAUAAACAACGAGGCAUUCAACACGGUUGUGAACAGUGCGUGCUGUGGGGCGAGACACCGAUGUGCUAAUGGGGCGGAUUCGGAGUUGUAGUAAUAUAUACGUGACUUAAUAGUGUUAGCUAGUGCAUGCAUGUUAAUUAUACUAGGCUGUAGCUAUACUCGCCAAGUAUAUAAAAAUAGGUGGCAUAAUCAUU